rnacentral:rRNA from 1 species
GAUGAACGCUAGCUACAGGCUUAACACAUGCAAGUCGAGGGGAAACGAUAGAGAAAGCUUGCUUUUUCUAGGCGUCGACCGGCGCACGGGUGAGUAACGCGUAUCCAACCUGCCCAUCACUUGGGGAUAACCUUGCGAAAGUAAGACUAAUACCCAAUGACGUCUCUAGAAGACAUCUGAAAGAGAUUAAAGAUUUAUCGGUGAUGGAUGGGGAUGCGUCUGAUUAGCUUGUUGGCGGGGUAACGGCCCACCAAGGCGACGAUCAGUAGGGGUUCUGAGAGGAUGAACGGCCACACUGGAACUGAGACACGGUCCAGACUCCUACGGGAGGCAGCAGUGGGGAAUCUUCCGCAAUGGGCGAAAGCCUGACGGAGCAACGCCGCGUGAGUGAUGACGGCCUCGGGUUGUAAAC